AUCCCUACUAGAGCUCCUCAUGGCUCUAGGCGGAUCAAACUCAUAAUGUUAAGCCUGGUUUUGCUCAUAAACAUACAACAAUAAAGAAACAUACAUAAACUGAUCAUGUGACUCCACAAAGGGAUUACAACUCUUAUAAGUCAAGCACUAUUCUAUACACUGUCCAUAUACACUAUCUCUAUACAUUUACAUGUCCACACUAGCUAUUACACCACUCUGUACUCUUCCUGUACCCUGCUGAGUUCUCUCUGACCUCUGAACCUGCACAACUGGAGUUAGGGG
rnacentral:lncRNA from 1 species